rnacentral:rRNA from 1 species
GGUCUAAUACCUUAUAGUAUCCAUCUCGUAUGGAUUAAAGCUUUAUGCGCUUUGGAGGGGCCUGCGUUUGAUUAGCUAGUUGGUGAGGUAAAAGCUCACCAAGGCGACGAUCAAUAGCUGGUUUGAGAGGAUGACCAGCCACACUGGGACUGAGAUACGGCCCAGACUCCUACGGGAGGCAGCAGUAAGGAAUCUUCCACAAUGGGGCAACCCUGAUGGAGCAAUACCGCGUGCAGGAUGAAGCGUUUCGGCGUGUAAACUGCUUUUAUCACCGAAGAUUAUGACUGUAGGUGAAGAAUAAGGACCGGCUAACUACGUG